rnacentral:snRNA from 1 species
GGGCUCACAGCUCACAUACUAACAUUAGAAUAAUACAGAGAAGAGUAAUAUGGCCUCAGCACAAGAAUGACAUUCUAUUUUAUGAAGAAUUUCGUAUCUUA